rnacentral:rRNA from 1 species
UACGUAGGGGCUAGCGUUAUCCGGAUUUACUGGGCGUAAAGGGUGCGUAGGCGGUCUUUCAAGUCAGGAGUGAAAGGCUGCGGCUCAACCGUAGUAAGCUCUUGAAACUGUAAGACUUGGGUGCAGGAGAGGAGAGUGGAAUUCCUAGUGUAGCGGUGAAAUGCGUAGAUAUUAGGAGGAACACCAGUUGCGAAGGCGGCUCUCUGGACUGUAACUGACGCUGAGGCACGAAAGCGUGGGGAGCAAAUAGGAUUAGAUACCCUGGUAGU